UUCCAGUAGAAAUCUCUCUGUCUUCUUAUCUAUUAUCAUCAGUUUAGUCACAGAAGCUCUCUAUUUGAAAUUUUUUCUUUAGCACUCUCUGUCUUAUUUUGUUGAUUGUUUAUGAUGGUUUUGAAUUUAAAUCUGAUUAUUUUGAGUUCUUUUUCUUCUUCUCAAACAUGGAGUCGAUCACUGUUUAUAGAAAACUCAAAUCAAUUACUGUAAAUUACUCAACUGAGUUUAAUAUUCUUUUAAUCAAUUGUUUUCCUUUCAGAGUGGCAGGUGGCUAGUUUUAUUAGAUGAUUAUAUUAGAUAGAUAAGCCAGCUAGGGGUUAAGGUUUCACAUGACUAACUAAUGAGGGGUAUUAGUGGGAUGAGAAAGAAAGAGGGAGAGAAAUGGGAUAAGGAGUAAUCAAUUACAUUCUGAAAAAAAGAAGGGGGGGACUUGCACGUACAAGCUAGGCUGAAGGUAAAGAAGGAAGGCACACAAGGUUUGGAAGAUAUCAAGAGCUUAAGGAACACCAUCCACAAAGUUUAAACACAAUAAAUAAAGAGAACAAGCUUGGUAGUGAACCAUUAUAGUUCCUUUGUUCUCAGUCUGCAACAUCUGAGAUGGAUGCGAAGAAUGUAGACAUUGACGAUCAUGCUUCUUGGCCUGAGGCUAUUGAAUCAUAUUUUAUUAGUCUUCUAUAUGAAGAGGCCAAAAAAGGAUUACAAACAACAACCUUGGACAAAAAAGGAUGGCUAAAAAUAGAAAAUGACAUAUUUAAUUCUUUUGGAAAGAGAUAUAAAAUGCCUCAAUUGAAAUCCAAAUUCAAUUGGUUGAGAAAGGCACAUCGAGAAUUUUCUCAUCUUUUGGAACAAACUGGUAUGGGAUGGGAUCCUCAAACAAAUAUUGUUACAGCAAGUG